GAUGAACGCUGGCGGCGUGCCUAAUACAUGCAAGUCGAGCGAACGGACGAGAAGCUUGCUUCUCUGAUGUUAUCGGCGGACGGGAGAGUAACACGUGGAUAACCUACCUAUAAGACUGGGAUAACUUCGGGAAACCGGAGCUAAUACCGGAUGAUAUUUUGAACCGCAUGGUUCAAAAGUGAAAGACGGUCUUGCUGUCACUUAUAGAUGGAUCCGCGCUGCAUUAGCUAGUUGGUAAGGUAAUGGCUUACCAAGGCAACGAUGCAUAGCCGACCUGAGAGGGACGUCGGCCACACUGGAACUGAGACACGGUCCAGACUCCUACGGGAGGCAGCAGUAGGGAAUCUUCCGCAAUGGGCGAAAGCCUGACAGAGCAACGCCGCGUGAGGGAUGAAGGUCUUCGGAUCGUAAAACUCUGUUAUUAGGGAAGAACAUAUGUGUAAGUAACUGUGCACAUCUUGACGGUACCUAAUCAGAAAGCCACGGCUAACUACGUG
rnacentral:rRNA from 1 species